CUCCUACCCCAUCUCUUCUUUGUGUCUAGGAUCUAUAACUCCUGCUCCGUCCCCAAGUCACCCUUCCAUCUUCUAACAGUCUAAUGGUCCAGUCUUGGGUCUAUAACAGUAGUCCAUACCUUAUCAGAUUCCAGCUUCUAAGAAUCAGGUCCAAUAUCCGGAGCCAGCAGCAAGUGCCUCACAUACAAGCAGGUCCCUGACAGCAUUUGGUUAGAGGCGCGUCAAGUGAGCCAUCUGAACAGCAGACAGCUUCCUGGGUCUUCAUGGUCAUUUUAUGCAGUCUAGAGAGACAGAUCAAACUUACUUCUGAAGAGAACAGGGUAGCAGCAGAUUCCAGAGAGCUACUGACUUUGGUGCCUCCUUUU
rnacentral:sRNA from 1 species